rnacentral:rRNA from 1 species
CAGUAGCCACGGGAAUACGUAGGGGGCAAGCGUUAUCCGGAAUUACUGGGUGUAAAGGGAGCGUAGACGGUUAAACAAGUCUGAAGUGAAAUGCCGGGGCUCAACCCCGGAGCUGCUUUGGGAACUGUAGAACUGGAGUGUCGGAGGGGUAAGCGGAAUUCCCAGUGUAGCGGUGAAAUGCGUAGAUAUUGGGAGGAACACCGGCGGCGAAGGCGGCUUACUGGACGACAACUGACGUUGAGGCUCGAAGGCGUGGGUAGCAAACAGGAUUAGAUACCCGAGUAGUCCCUGUCUCUUAUAC